rnacentral:siRNA from 1 species
AUCUACAUUUGCAUCUUGGUCAAC